CCUACGGGAGGCUGCAGUGGGGAAUAUUGGACAAUGGGGGCAACCCUGAUCCAGCCAUGCCGCGUGUGUGAAGAAGGCCCUCGGGUUGUAAAGCACUUUCAGUGAGGAAGAACGCCUGGUGGUUAAUACCCAUCAGGAAAGACAUCACUCACAGAAGAAGCACCGGCUAACUCCGUGCCAGCAGCCGCGGUAAUACGGAGGGUGCGAGCGUUAAUCGGAAUUACUGGGCGUAAAGCGCGCGUAGGUGGCUUGAUAAGCCGGUUGUGAAAGCCCCGGGCUCAACCUGGGAACGGCAUCCGGAACUGUCAAGCUAGAGUGCAGGAGAGGAAGGUAGAAUUCCCGGUGUAGCGGUGAAAUGCGUAGAGAUCGGGAGGAAUACCAGUGGCGAAGGCGGCCUUCUGGACUGACACUGCCACUGAGGUGCGAAAGCGUGGGUAGCAAACAGGAUUAGAUACCCGAGUAGUC
rnacentral:rRNA from 1 species